UAAGGUCGUAGGAGGUUAUACAGGCAAAUCCGUAUAACAAUACUCCGAGAACUGAAAGGCUUUUUGAAGUCUUCGGAUGGAUAGAAGAACCCCUGAUGCCGUCGAGCCAAGAAAAGUUUCUAAGUUUAGCUAAUGUUGCCCGUACCGUAAACCGACACAGGUGGGUGGGAUGAGUAUUCUAAGGCGCGUGGAAGAACUCUCUUUAAGGAACUCUGCAAAAUAGCACCGUAUCUUCGGUAUAAGGUGUGCCUCCCUUUGUACUAGAAUUCACUUCGAAAGCAAAGAAGGUUACAACAAAGAGUCCCUCCCGACUGUUUACCAAAAACACAGCACUCUGCUAACUCGUAAGAGGAUGUAUAGGGUGUGACGCCUGCCCGGUGCUCGAAGGUUAAUUGAUGGGGUUAGCAUUAGCGAAGCUCUUGAUCGAAGCCCGAGUAAACGGCGGCCGUAACUAUAACGGUCCUAAGGUAGCGAAAUUCCUUGUCGGUUAAAUACCGACCUGCAUGAAUGGCGUAACGAGAUGGGAGCUGUCUCAAAGAGGGAUCCAGUGAAAUUGUAGUGGAGGUGAAAAUUCCUCCUACCCGCGGCAAGACGGAAAGACCCCGUGGACCUUUACUACAGCUUGACACUGCUAUUUGGAUAAGAAUGUGCAGGAUAGGUGGGAGGCUUUGAGUAUAUGACGCCAGUUGUAUAUGAGCCAUUGUUGAGAUACCACUCUUUCUUAUUUGGGUAGCUAACCAGCUUGAGUUAUCCUCAAGUGGGACAAUGUCUGGUGGGUAGUUUGACUGGGGCGGUCGCCUCCCAAAUAAUAACGGAGGCUUACAAAGGUUGGCUCAUAGCGGUUGGAAAUCGCUAGUAGAGUAUAAAGGUAUAAGCCAGCUUAACUGCAAGACAUACAAGUCAAGCAGAGACGAAAGUCGGUCUUAGUGAUCCGGUGGUUCUGUGUGGAAGGGCCAUCGCUCAAAGGAUAAAAGGUACCCCGGGGAUAACAGGCUGAUCUCCCCCAAGAGCUCACAUCGACGGGGAGGUUUGGCACCUCGAUGUCGGCUCAUCGCAUCCUGGGGCUGGAGCAGGUCCCAAGGGUAUGGCUGUUCGCCAUUUAAAGCGGUACGCGAGCUGGGUUCAGAACGUCGUGAGACAGUUCGGUCCCUAUCUGCCGUGGGCGUAAGAAGAUUGAAGAGAUUUGACCCUAGUACGAGAGGACCGGGUUGAACAAACCACUGGUGUAGCUGUUGUUCUGCCAAGAGCAUCGCAGCGUAGCUAAGUUUGGAAAGGAUAAACGCUGAAAGCAUCUAAGCGUGAAGCCAACUCUAAGAUGAAUCUUCUCUAAGCUCUCUAGAAGACUACUAGUUUGAUAGGCUGGGUGUGUAAUGGAUGAAAGUCCUUUAGCUGACCAGUACUAAUAGAGCGUUUGGCUUAUCUUAUAAA
rnacentral:rRNA from 1 species